rnacentral:lncRNA from 10 species
AGAAAAUCCAAUGGAAUACAUGAAAAUAUCUAAUAAGUUUAAUAACGUUACAGGAUACGUCUAUCUACAGAACUCAAUUGCAUUUCUAUAUACUUGCAACAAUCAGAAAAUGGAACUAAAAAUAUAGUAGCAUAAAAAUAUGAGAUCAUUAAGUGUAAAUUUGAUAAAAUAUAUGCAAGACCUGUACACUGAAUUCUACGAAACAGUGCUGAGAAAGUAAACUUGAGAGAUACCAUGUUCACGGAUUAGAAGGCUCAAUAUUGUUCAGCAUCAGUUUCCCCCACAUUGAUCUGUAGAUUCGGCAAAAUCCCAAUAAGAAUUUUAGUAGGUUUUUUUGGUAGAACUUGUUAAGCUGCUACUAAAAUUUGGAAAUAUAUAAAGGACCUAGAAUAACCAAAGCAACUUUGGGAAAAUAAAACAGCAUAGUAGAGGUCUAGAAAUUACAGCACUGUAAUUUCUAGACUUGUUACAAAGCUAUUAAGAUAAUGCAAAAGUGCAUAAACGUCACAUAGAUCAGUGUAGCACAAUAAAGUUCAGAAAUACACCCACACAUUUAUAGUCAACUGAUUUUGACAAACGUGUAAAGCUAAUUCAAAACCUAAAACGUGAAAGGUAAUCCUUUCCAGAAAAAGGAUGAACUUUCCAAAACACUGUGCUGGAACACACAUGCAAAAACAAAAACCCUGAUGCAUACUUCACACCAUCUACAAAAAUAAACUCAAAGUGGAUCAUAGAUAGACCUAAAUGUAAAACUUAAAACUAAAAAAAAAAAAAAAUUCUGGAAGAUAAGACAAAGAUCUUUGUAUGUUUGGGGUAGAUUUUGUGUAUGCGACACCAAAUGAAUAAUCUCCAAAAGUAAAAAUUGAUAUAAAUUGGAUUUUCAAAGACCAAUUAAAGUAUAGUAUUGGAAAGGUACCAGUAAGAUAAUUAAAAGACAAAUCACAGACUGUGAGAAAAUAUUUGCCAAUCAUACAUCUAAUAAAGAUCUUGUAUUCAGAAUAUAUAAACGCAUUUCAAGACAGAAGAAAAUAACCCGAUGUUUUACAUAGACAAUGACUGAGAUAGGCACUUCACCAAAGAAGUUAUGAAGCUGGGUGUGGUGGUGUGGUUUCAAUUACUCAGGAGGCUGAGGCAGGAGGAUUGCUUGAGCCCAGGGGUUUAAGGCUGCAGCGAGCUAUAAUCAUGCCACUGCAUUCUAGCCUGGGUGGCAGAGUGAGAGUAUCUCUAAAAACUAAAAAAAAAAAAAGACAUGAAGAUGGUAAAUGCAAAUGAAAAGGUGCUUGUAAUCAUCGUCACUUAGGGAAAUGCAGGCUAAACCACAUGGAGAUACUCCUGAAUAUUUAUUAAAAUAGCUAAAAUUUAAAAGCCUGACCAUACCAACUGUUGGCUAUGAUGUGGAGCAACUGGAAUUUUCAUACUCUGGGAAUAUAAAAUGGUCAAACAUUUUGGGAAAUGUUUUGACAGUUUCUUCAACCAUUGAGCAUAUACCUACCAUUCACACUAGGCAUUCUACUCCUUAAAUAUGUAUCUACAAGAAAUAAAAGCACAUAUCCACACAAAGACUUGUACAUGAAUGGUCAUAGCAGAUAUAUUUGUAAUAGCCCAAAUGUGGAAAUAAUCCAGUAUCUGUCAGCAGAUGAAUGGAUAAACAAAUUGUGGUAUAUACAGUGUAAUGCCACCCAGCUAUAUGAAAGGAAUAAACUAUAGUAUGUAAACAACAUGAAUGAAUCUCAAAAUUAUCAUAUUGAUUAAUAGAAGCCAGACAAUAAAGAGUAUAUACCAUAUGAUUCUAGUUUUCUAGCAAAUGUAAACUUAACUACAGAGACAGCCAUUAGUUUGCCUGGGAACAGUUGAGGAAGGGCAGGAAGAAAGUUGUACAAAGUCACAGGGAAACUUGUGGGUGAUUACUAUGUUUAUUAUCUUGAUUGUGAUGAUGGUUUCAUUAGGCAUGCCAAUUUUCCAAAUUGUGUGCCUUAAAUAUGUGUCGUUUAUUUUGUGUCAGUCUGUUUUUCUAUAAAAGAGGGACCACUUCUGAUAUUAUAUGUUUGUUGGAACCAUUUUUCCCCCUAUGUCUCAUAUACUUCAUAUUUUUCAAAAUAUGAAAUAGAUAAUUUGGGCUUCAAUGUAGCGCUCUACAUGUUUCAUUUAUAGCUGCUAAGGUGUAAGAGGGCCAUCAAUAUUGAACUUGUAAGGAUUACAUUCAGAUAAUGUCUACUCUUACUCAUUUUUCAUUAAUACUCAUACAAAUACAGAGUAUGUAAACAACUUCAACAUUCCUAAAUCUUUGAUUUUAAAGAAAUGUGAAACGCAAUGGGAUCAUCUGGAAAUAUGAAACUGAAC